rfam:Aedes albopictus isolate Foshan contig109390, whole genome shotgun sequence.
UGAGAGGUUCUUCUUAGAACCAUCAUAAAACCAAAAUUAAAAGUAU